rnacentral:rRNA from 1 species
AACGAACGCUGGCGGCAUGCCUAACACAUGCAAGUCGAACGAGAUCUUCGGGUCUAGUGGCGCACGGGUGCGUAACGCGUGGGAAUCUGCCCUUUGGUUCGGAAUAACAGUUGGAAACGACUGCUAAUACCGGAUGAUGACGAAAGUCCAAAGAUUUAUCGCCAGAGGAUGAGCCCGCGUAGGAUUAGCUAGUUGGUGUGGUAAAGGCGCACCAAGGCGACGAUCCUUAGCUGGUCUGAGAGGAUGAUAAGCCACACUGGGACUGAGACACGGCCCAGACUCCUACGGGAGGCAGCAGUGGGGAAUAUUGGACAAUGGGCGAAAGCCUGAUCCAGCAGUGCCGCGUGAGUGAUGAAGGCCUUAGGGUUGUAAAGCUCUUUUACCAGGGAUGAUAAUGACAGUACCGGGAGAAUAAGCUCCGGCUAACUCCGUGCCAGCAGCCGCCGUAA